CACGUAGGGCGCAAGCGUUGUCCGGAAUUAUUGGGCGUAAAGAGCUCGUAGGCGGUCUGUUGCGUCCGCUGUGAAAACUCGGGGCUUAACCCCGAGCCUGCAGUGGAUACGGGCAGACUAGAGGUAGGUAGGGGAGGAUGGAAUUCCCGGUGUAGCGGUGAAAUGCGCAGAUAUCGGGAGGAACACCGGUGGCGAAGGCGGUUCUCUGGGCCUUACCUGACGCUAAGGAGCGAAAGCGUGGGGAGCGAACAGG
rnacentral:rRNA from 1 species